rnacentral:rRNA from 1 species
AAUCAACGCUGGCGGCGUGCCUCAGACAUGCAAGUCGAACGCGAAAGUCCCCUUCGGGGGGACAAGUAGAGUGGCGCACGGGUGAGUAACACGUAGGUAAUCUACCUUCGGAUGGGGAAUAACAAUCGGAAACGGUUGCUAAUACCGCAUAAUGCAGCGGCACCUAAUGGUGACAGUUGUUAAAGCGGGGGAUCGAAAGACCUCGCGUCUGAAGAGGAGCCUGCGGCGGAUUAGCAGUUGGUAAGGUAAUGGCUUACCAAGGCUACGAUCCGUAACCGGCCUGAGAGGGCGGUCGGUCACACUGACACUGACAUACGGGUCAGACUCCUACGGGAGGCAGCAGUCGGGAAUUUUGGGCAAUGGGCGAAAGCCUGACCCAGCAACGCCGCGUGAAGGAUGAAA